UACGUAGGGGGCAAGCGUUGUCCGGAUUUAUUGGGCGUAAAGAGCGUGUAGGCGGCCACACAGGUCAGCUGUGAAAACUCGAGGCUCAACCUCGAGACGUCGGUUGAAACCGUAUGGCUAGAGUCCGGAAGAGGAGAGUGGAAUUCCCGGUGUAGCGGUGAAAUGCGCAGAUAUCGGGAAGAACACCCGUGGCGAAGGCGGCUCUCUGGGACGGUACUGACGCUGAGACGCGAAAGCGUGGGGAGCAAACAGG
rnacentral:rRNA from 1 species